GGAAUCAUUCCGUUCUAACCUUCAUUCUUGCAUUCUUUCCUGCAAAUCAAACUUAACAUAAGAGUUGUGGAGUUUAAGCCAGUCAUACGAGUUAAACAAGCUGACAGUAUCCUUGUAGUAACCAGAAAUCAAGUAUAUUUAUUUGUCUUGAAUAUAAUUUGAACUCUACAAAUGAAAGUUGAGGUGGUUAUUUCUUUCUUCUCUCUACACAUGAUGGUAUUACCUUUGUAAUUAGUGCCGAGAGAUUUAUUGGAAAGUAAAGGGCCGACAUCAAAUAUUUAAGACUAGCCGUCUUUCGUAAUUCAAAAUCAGUUGUAUUUUGUUAGAUAGGUACAUGGAAAUUCAUAUUUUUACGUGAUUUUUUGAUAUUUCUACAUAAAAACCGUAACUAUAAAUCUUAUAGUGACGGUUUUUACCGUCGCUAUACAUCUAUAACACCACUUUUUUAAAAAAAAUUUAUUCAUAUCUACACGCCAUUAUUAAAUUGAUGUUAUGUAUUACAAUAAAUUUAUGUCAAAUUAUAAUUACAAAACUUAUCAAUACAUACAUGAAUGAAAUUAUGAAAGAAUCCCACUUAUUACAUAUCACUUCAAAAGGGUUACCACUAAUAAUGUAACUGACAAUAUAUAUCAUUUUCUUAAAAACACAAUUAUGUCAUUGGAUUACACAGACACACGAGUUUUGUACUCCCUCUAGUUCCUCAUCAGUGGAUCCUCCACUAUUACAAGUCAAUAAAAGUAGUUAGCGGGGGGUCAAAUAAAGCUAGCGCAUCAAUAAUUAAAGAUGGUUAAUUAGAUAUGGAGAACAUUACUAAAACCAAAAACAAUUAAUUGUAAAGAGAGAACUUUGAAGCCAAAUAGACUGAAUUAGUUAGUGCAGGAAAUGUUUAACAGCUAAAGCAACACUUAUUAUUCUGUCGUGACUUAUGCAUAUAUCCAAUUAAGAUCCCAGAGAUGGAAAUAAGCAAAACCAAUUACGUACCUGGAUUGAAAGAAUUGAAUAUGAGCAAUAUCAUAGCCAUGAGCAUCAGACCAGCUGACUCUUCUUGUUCCUCUCCCUUGUUGAUUUGUCAUCUCAUCAUCCACUGCUAAAUCAUCAUCAUCACUACUUUUCUUCAAACUACUCUUAAGAGGAGGAGGUUCAAUUAGAACCCCAUUAAUGGACCCAUUCUGAACAUUACUGCUGCUGCUGCCGCCAUUAAUAUGAUUACUACAAGCUUUUUCUUCUUCUUCCUCCUCUUCCUUGUGAUUAUUUGGUGCAGCUGUAUUAUAAUUUUCCGAUGAUGAUGAUCUCUUGUUGUUGUUCUUGUGGAUAGUAGUAUUGUUGGUUUCUUCUUCGGUAUUGAAAGAAUUCCUUGAGGGCACAUAGCAUGAACAUACCAAAGAGCUGCAUCUGUUUUUCUGCCCCGAGCCCGCCAGGAGUACUACUCUUACACUAUAUAUACUCACCUUUAAUUAACAACUCUCUCUGCCUUAAUUUCUCUCUCUCUCCCUAUCUCAAACUGUCACAAGAUUAAAGGCACAUAUGGAAAGAUUCAUUGGCAUGAGAUCAAAACUAGUGACAGGGUGUGUAUGAGAGAGAGACACCAUUCUAAAAUCAUUCUUGUUUGCUUUGUCUAUGGGAAUUGAGUAAUGGGGUGGGGGCCAUGGUGGGUUUUUUUUUCUUUUUAGGUUUGAAAAAAU
rnacentral:lncRNA from 1 species